UGGACUAUAGGUGUGCACCACUGUCUCUGGCUAAUUUUUUUUGAAGUUUAGUUGGCUUUAUUGGCUCCAGGGCUGAAUGUUUUGCCCUAAGGCAGCGAAUCAGAAUCACUGUGGGUGAGGCUUAGGCAUUUUACAAUUUGUCCUGGAGAUUUGAAUGUGCAACCAGGAUGAGGAACUGCUGCCCUCAGGGAGCGGUGCACAGAAGGGGAAAAAAGAGACUUAGGUCCCGGCCCUCCCCUGCUCCAGUCUAGACCAGCUCUGUGCCAUGUUAAGAAUGCCAUUUGUAGGCUGGGCGUGGUGUCUCAAGCUUGUAAUCCCAGCACUUUGGGAGGCCGAGGCAGGCAGAUCAACUAAGGUCGGGAAUUCGAGACCAGCCUGACCAACACGGAG
rnacentral:lncRNA from 10 species